UGGGGAAUCUUCCACAAUGGGCGAAAGCCUGAUGGAGCGACGUCGCGUGAUGGACGAAGUGCUUCGGCACGUAAACAUCUUUUUAUGUGGGAUGAAAUUAUUGACAGUACCACAUGAAUAAGGGGCUCCUAACUCUGUGCCAGCAGGAGCGGUAAUACAGAGGCCCCAAGCGUUAUCCGGAAUCACUGGGCGUAAAGGGUGUCGAGGCGGUUGUAUUAGUCGUUCGUAAAAUCUACGAGCUUAACUUGUAGGCGGCGAACGAAACGGUACGACUUGAGGUUUGGAGAGGUGCGUGGAACUCACGGUGUAGGGGUGAAAUCCGUUGAUAUCGUGGGGAACACCAAAGGCGAAGGCAGCGCACUGGCCAAAAUCUGACGCUCACACACGAAAGCUAGGGUAGCGAAGAGGAUUAGAUACCCAGGUAGUCCCUGAGCGGGCUGGCAAGGCGCAU
rnacentral:rRNA from 1 species